rnacentral:rRNA from 1 species
CGGCAGGCUUAACACAUGCAAGUCGAGGGGCAUCGGGGAGGAAGCUUGCUUUCUCCGCCGGCGACCGGCGCACGGGUGAGUAACACGUAUGCAACCUGCCCCUGUCAGGGGGACAACCCGCCGAAAGGCGGGCUAAACCCGCGUACAUGCCACCGGGGCAUCCCGGAGGCAGGAAAGGCUUCGGCCGGACAGGGAUGGGCAUGCGGCGCAUUAGGCAGUAGGCGGGGUAACGGCCCACCUAACCGACGAUGCGUAGGGGUUCUGAGAGGAAGGUCCCCCACACUGGUACUGAGACACGGACCAGACUCCUACGGGAGGCAGCAGUGAGGAAUAUUGGUCAAUGGUCGGGAGACUGAACCAGCCAAGCCGCGUGAGGGAGGAAGGUACAGAGUAUCGUAAACCUCUUUUGUCAGGGAACAAAGGCGGGGACGUGUCCCCGGAUGAGUGUACCUGAAGAAAAAGCAUCGGCUAACUCCGUGCCAGCAGCCGCGGUAAUACGGAGGAUGCGAGCGUUAUCCGGAUUUAUUGGGUUUAAAGGGUGCGCAGGCGGUCUGUUAAGUCAGCGGUCAAAGCCCGGGGCUCAACCCCGGCCCGCCGUUGAAACUGGCAGUCUCGAGUUGGAGAGAAGUAUGCGGAAUGCGCGGUGUAGCGGUGAAAUGCAUAGAUAUCGCGCAGAACUCCGAUUGCGAAGGCAGCAUGCCGGCUCCACACUGACGCUGAGGCACGAAAGCGUGGGUAUCGAACAGGAUUAGAUACCCUGGUAGUCCACGCAGUAAACGAUGAAUGCUGGCUGUCCGGGGGGAUUGACCCCUGGGUGGCGAAGCGAAAGCGAUAAGCAUUCCACCUGGGGAGUACGCCGGCAACGGUGAAACUCAAAGGAAUUGACGGGGGCCCGCACAAGCGGAGGAACAUGUGGUUUAAUUCGAUGAUACGCGAGGAACCUUACCCGGGCUCAAACGGGGAGUGACUCAGGCAGAGACGCCUGUUUCCCACGGGACACUCCCCGAGGUGCUGCAUGGUUGUCGUCAGCUCGUGCCGUGAGGUGUCGGCUUAAGUGCCAUAACGAGCGCAACCCCCGCGUGCAGUUGCUAACAGAUAACGCUGAGGACUCUGCACGGACUGCCGGCGCAAGCCGCGAGGAAGGCGGGGAUGACGUCAAAUCAGCACGGCCCUUACGUCCGGGGCGACACACGUGUUACAAUGGGUGGUACAGCGGGAAGCCAGGCGGCGACGCCGAGCGGAACCCGAAAUCCACUCUCAGUUCGGAUCGGAGUCUGCAACCCGACUCCGUGAAGCUGGAUUCGCUAGUAAUCGCGCAUCAGCCAUGGCGCGGUGAAUACGUUCCCGGGC